UCCUCCUUGGUGUAACGGCAGCACAACAGCCUUUGGAGCUGCGGGGUCCAGGUUCGAAUCCUGGGGGAGGAG
rnacentral:tRNA from 1 species